UACGAAGGUGGCUAGCGUUGUUCGGAAUUACUGGGCGUAAAGCGCGUGUAGGCGGGUCUUUAAGUCAGGGGUGAAAUGCCAAGGCUCAACCUUGGAACUGCCUUUGAUACUGGAGACCUUGAGUCCGGGAGAGGUGAGUGGAAUUGCGAGUGUAGAGGUGAAAUUCGUAGAUAUUCGCAAGAACACCAGUGGCGAAGGCGGCUCACUGGCCCGGAACUGACGCUGAGAUGCGAAAGCGUGGGGAGCAAACAGG
rnacentral:rRNA from 1 species